rnacentral:rRNA from 1 species
UACGGGAGGCAGCAGUGGGGAAUAUUGGACAGUGGGGGGAACCCUGAUCCAGCCAUGCCGCGUGUGUGAAGAAGGCCUUUUGGUUGUAAAGCACUUUAAGCGAGGAGGAGGCUACUAGUAUUAAUACUACUGGAUAGUGGACGUUACUCGCAGAAUAAGCACCGGCUAACUCUGUGCCAGCAGCCGCGGUAAU